rnacentral:lncRNA from 15 species
CCGACUAUGGACGAAGUGAACGUUGUCUCUCUUGCUGUUGGAGGAUGUGUGGACGCCUGCUGUCUGCUGCUCGACCUGGUCGUCAGGACGUUCAGCUGGCUGUGUCGCUUCCUGUCCGGCGCGGGCGCUUCCCUCCACAACACGCUGGUCGUCCUGAGCGGCUCCUCUCUGGUCGAAUGCUGGAACUUUGCUCUUUACUCCUUCCUCGCCGCCACUGAGGCCGUCUCCAGCGCCGCCUGCGGAGCGCUGCAGGUUGUGGAGGGCUGGCUGCAGACGCUGGGAGGAGUGUUUGAGAGUUUCAAGAUGGUGGGACACCUCUCCUGUCACGUGGCGUGGCGAGUCAAGGACGUGGUCAACAUCGUCCUCAUCGGCACGCAGAACUGUCUGUCUGUGAAGAAAUAAUAUAGCUUUUAUAAUUAAUAUCAAAUAGAACUGCAACUGGGGAUAAAUGUAAAACUAUGCGCAAUUAAAAUUAGGCUGUCGACCAAUGAAUGAAAGUCACAGCAUUUAGCAGAGGCAGUGCAGAUGGAGGAAACUAUCUGUUGUCCUCCCUGCCUUUACUGAGAGCUGUUGUACAGUCUGAUGGGGGACAAAAGAGUUUUUGAGUCUGUGGGUGGAGCUGGACUGGGACAGCAGUUUGUCCAGGGUCCUUCUCUCUGCCACUGUCACCAGAGAGUCCAGCUCUGUGUCCACCACUGAGCCAGCUGUCCUCACCGGUCUGUCCAGUCGACCGGCGUCUCUCCUCUUGCUGCUUCCUCCCCAGCAAACCACAGCAUAAAAGAGCAAGCUGGCCACCACAGACUGGUAAAACAUCUGCAGCAGUUUUUUGCAGAUGUUGAAGGAGCCCAGCCUUCUCAGGAAGUACAGCCGGCUCUGCCCUUUCCUGUGUAAAGCGUCCGUAUCUGCUGUCCAGUCCAGCUUGUUGUCCAGCUGCAGCCUCAGAUAUUUAUAGGUCCUGACCACCUCCACAUCGACCCCCUCGAUGGACACGGGUUGGAGAGUCCACCACCAUCUCCUUGGUCUUGGAGGUGUUCAGCUGCAGACGGUUUCAGACCUUAAAAC